rnacentral:rRNA from 1 species
GACGAACGCUGGCGGCGUGCUUAACACAUGCAAGUCGAACGGAAGGGCCCUGCUUUUGUGGGGUGCUCGAGUGGCGAACGGGUGAGUAACACGUGAGUAACCUGCCCUUGACUUUGGGAUAACUUCAGGAAACUGGGGCUAAUACCGGAUAGGAGCUCCUGCUGCAUGGUGGGGGUUGGAAAGUUUCGGCGGUUGGGGAUGGACUCGCGGCUUAUCAGCUUGUUGGUGGGGUAGUGGCUUACCAAGGCUUUGACGGGUAGCCGGCCUGAGAGGGUGACCGGGCACAAUAGGACUGAGAUACGGCCCAGACGCGUACGGGAGGCAACAGUGGGGAGUAUUGCACAAUGGGCGGAAGCCUGAGGCGGCAACGCCGCGUGCGGGAAGACGGCCUUCGGGUUGUAAACCGCUGUCGCCUGUGACGAAGCGUGAGUGACGGUAAUGGGUAAAGAAGCACCGGCUAACUACGUG